AUUGGGGUAGUUUUGGUCCCCAGAGGCAAAAGCGUCCCCAAUGAACGGGUGUGUCAGCUGAUAUAAGUCCCCAAUUUUGACACAAGUAAACACACAGACGCACACACAGAUAAGCAAACACUGAAAACGCCCCCCAAAAAACAGGAGGUUGGAAAGAAAACGACUGAAGCGCCGUGAAGACGUUUCACCUCUCACCCAAGAGACUUCUUCAGUGCGGCGUUAUCAUGAAGCCCUUCGAGCCUGCAUAAAACCAGGCUCAAAGAAAUGACGCUUUAACAGAGGGCAUUCUUAUAAGUGCAUCAAUCUGAGCUGGAGAGGACUGAAGGCUUCCUGUGGACUUCCUGUGGACUUCGACAAAAAGCCCUGUCAGAAAGAGACCCAAUAGGGCCCAGCAGGUGAAUGUAAAGAAACGUGAGAGGACUCCCCUCUGAUCAGCCUUUCAGACCCAGACAAUGGGCCAGCCCACCUCUUGUACUGCUGCAUUAAAACCCUGAUUAAAGCUCUUCCUGUUAGCGAUUGAUUGAGGAUGCAAAACUAAAACCAACAAAAACCCGCGCUGCUGAGGCCUGAUAAUGACUGGGCCCCACCUACAAAGCACAGGCUUCAAAUGAUUAGUGGGGUUUUGUUUUCUUAGUAGGUGUGAGAGUGUGUGUGCGUGUGAGUGAGUGUGUGUGUUAGAGAAAAAGAGA